UUCGACGCGAAAAUUCGAUAAUAACUUUUUCGUUAAAGAUAUUCGAAACUGUGACCAAAAGCCCGAGAUUCGGUGAGCCGGCAACCCAAGCGAGAACAGCUUGCUUCACGUUGAAUACCUUUUUCGUAAAAGAAAAAUGCUGUGCGAGGGGGAUCGAGAACCGAGAUUCGACCUUCCAAGGACGCGGCAUCCUGGUCCAUAGCUACAUGUAAACUGGUCCAACACGAUACUGGAGUCAUCCCACACUUCGUUUCUUUUAUUUUUUGUUCAACUUAUUCGCGUGUACAGAGAGAAUAAUAAAUAAAAUACGUUCAACGUUCUCUGCA